rnacentral:misc_RNA from 1 species
GAUGAAGAACGCAGCGAAAUGCGAUACGUAAUGUGAAUUGCAGAAUUCAGUGAAUCAUCGAGUCUUUGAACGCACAUUGCGCCCCUUGGUAUUCCGAGGGGCAUGCCUGUUCGAGCGUCAUUAUAACCCCUCAAGCUCAGCUUGGUAUUGGGGCCUGCCAUCCUGGCAGCCCUUAAAAUCAGUGGCGGUGCCAUCCGGCUCUAAGCGUAGUAACUCCUCUCGCUAUGGAGUCCUGGUGGAUGCUUUGCCAUUAAUCUUUUAACUUCUAUGGUUGACCUCGGAUCAGGUAGGGAUACCCGCUGAACUUAAGCAUAUCAAUAAGCGGAGGA